UACGUAGGGGUCGAGCGUUGUUCGGAAUCACUGGGCGUAAAGGGCGCGUAGGCGGCUUGAUAAGUCGGGGGUGAAAGCUGUGGCUCAACCACAGAAUUGCCUUCGAUACUGUCGAGCUUGAGACCGGAAGAGGUAAGUGGAACUGCGAGUGUAGAGGGUGAAAUUCGUAGAUAUUCGCAAGAACACCAGUGGCGAAGGCGGCUUACUGGUCCGGUUCUGGACGCUGAGGCGCGAAAAGCGUGGGGAGAC
rnacentral:rRNA from 1 species